rnacentral:rRNA from 1 species
UGGGGAAUCUUCCGCAAUGGGCGAAAGCCUGACGGAGCAACGCCGCGUGAGUGAAGACGGCCUUCGGGUUGUAAAGCUCUGUUAUAUGGGACGAACGGGCGUAUGGUCAAUACCCAUACGCCGUGACGGUACCGUAAGAGAAAGCCACGGCUAACUACGUGCCAGCAGCCGCGGUAAUACGUAGGUGGCAAGCGUUGUCCGGAAUCAUUGGGCGUAAAGGGCGCGCAGGCGGUUCGGUAAGUCGGUCUUAAAAGUGCGGGGCUUAACCCCGU